rnacentral:rRNA from 1 species
AACGAACGCUGGCGGCGUGCCUAACACAUGCAAGUCGUGCGAGAAAGUUCCUUCGGGAGCGAGUAAAGCGGCGCACGGGUGAGUAACACGUAGGUAACCUGCCCCCCAGUCUGGAACAACUAGAGGAAACUCUAGCUAAUGCCGGAUGAGACCACGAUCCCUUCGGGGGUUGCGGCCAAAGAUGGCCUCUACUUGUAAGCUAUCGCUGAGGGAUGGGCCUGCGGCCAUUAGCUUGUUGGUGAGGUAACGGCUCACCAAGGCUGUGAUGGCUAGCUGGUCUGAGAGGAUGACCAGCCACACUGGGACUGAGACACGGCCCAGACUCCUACGGGAGCAGCAGUGGGAAUAUUGCGCAAUGGGCGAAAGCCUGACGCAGCGACGCCGCGUGGGUGAU